rnacentral:rRNA from 1 species
UACGUAGGGGGCAAGCGUUGUCCGGAUUUAUUGGGCGUAAAGAGCGUGUAGGCGGCCUGGAAGGUCCGUUGUGAAAACUCGAGGCUCAACCUCGAGACGUCGAUGGAAACCCUCAGGCUAGAGUCCGGAAGAGGAGAGUGGAAUUCCAGGUGUAGCGGUGAAAUGCGUAGAUAUCUGGAGGAACACCGGUGGCGAAGGCGGCAUCCUGGACCGGUAUUGACGCUGAGGCGCGAAAGCUAGGGGAGCAAACGGG